AUGAUGGAUUAAUGUAUAAAGCAAUCAAAGUUGCAGGACCAUUUGGUUAGUACAUUUUUAUUCAUUUUUGUUCUUUAAUAAUUGUUUGAUAUAGAUUUUUUUUAUAGACAACGAACUCCAAGCAAGGCGUGUGUCGAAAGCCUGGUCUGGUACUGAUAUUAGUAGCGAUGAAGAUAAUUAUAACAUAGAGAACACUAAACUAAGAAAGAGAACUAUUAAAAAAAACAAGCAAGAUCAAAUAAUAAUAAAGAAAAAAAAAACAGAAGCCCUUUUUACAUUACCAAUUCCGCCAAUUAAAGACUUUGCCUCUAAGAAUGCAACUAGUCACUUGUCUCCAAAUGAAGCCACAGAACUAUUACAGUCAACUUCCAAUAAUGAAGUUGAUAACAAUUUUCCAUCUAAGGAUGCAACUAUUCACUUGUGUCAAAACGAAUCCACAGAACUAUUAUUACAGUCAACUUCCAAUA